AGAAAUAUUCUUGUUAUGUGUGAUGCUUACACCCCAGCAGGAGACCCGAUUCCACCAACAAGAGAUAUAAUGCUGCAAAGAUUGUCAGCCAGCCUGAUGUUGCUGUUGAAGAACCCUGGUAUGGAAUAGAGCAAGAUUACACCCUUUUGCAAAAGGAUGUUAAGUGGCCUGUGGGAGGUUUUCCUGGCCCUCAGGUAAUACGUUAUGCCAGGUUAAGCUUCAGUACCAUUGACUUGUGUUUUUAUUAUUGUUUUUGGGUUCUAAACCUCUAUUGGGUUUGUUCAAUUAUGUUUCUAUAGCCUAGGUCUUGGGGGUUUUUUUUUUGGGGGGGGGGGGGGUGG